rnacentral:rRNA from 1 species
UACGUAGGGUGCGAGCGUUAAUCGGAAUUACUGGGCGUAAAGCGUGCGCAGGCGGUUUUGUAAGUCUGACGUGAAAUCCCCGGGCUUAACCUGGGAAUUGCGUUGGAGACUGCAAGGCUGGAAUCUGGCAGAGGGGGGUAGAAUUCCACGUGUAGCAGUGAAAUGCGUAGAGAUGUGGAGGAACACCGAUGGCGAAGGCAGCCCCCUGGGUCAAGAUUGACGCUCAUGCACGAAAGCGUGGGGAGCAAACAGG